rnacentral:rRNA from 1 species
GACGAAGGAUGCAAGCGUUAUCCGGAUUCAUUGGGUUUAAAGGGAGCGUAGGUGGUCUGCUAAGUCAGUGGUGAAAUCCUAUCGCUUAACGAUAGAAUUGCCAUUGAUACUGGCGGACUUGAGUGUAGUUGCCGUUGGCGGAAUAUGACAUGUAGUGGUGAAAUACAUAGAGAUGUCAUAGAACACCGAUUGCGAAGGCAGCUAACGAAACUAUAACUGACACUGAGGCUCGAAAGUGUGGGGAUCAAACAGG